ACCUGCAGAGCAAAGCCUGGCCCCGAGUCCGCCAGUUCCUCCAGGAGCAGAAGCCGGGCAGCCUCAUCGCUGACAUAGAUAUAGAAGACUGAGGCAUAAAGAUAUUAAUUAAAUUGCCUGACAUCACACCCAUAGUCAGUAUCAUACAUGUAGGAAGGCGCAGGCUCCCAGCCUGAGCUCUGCAGCACAACACCGUAUACACGCGGUCAUGGACAAGGCAGAUUCUAAGAGCCUUUCAAGGUCAGAAAACGGAGGCUACUCAGACAUUUAACUCCUUUUAUUUGUUGACGGAACCCUGCCCUGUGCCAGAUACGUAGGAUAUAAGCCAGGGAGUACAUAGCACGUGUGUAGAGUGUGUGCAGAAUAUGAAAAGGACGCGGCCUGACGGCGCCAGGCCGGGACAGAUACCUAUGACCACGUUGUACUGUUUAAUUGAACACAUGAAACUCCCUCUCAGAGAAUCACCACACAUAUUAGCAUAUUCAAGUCCUACCCUAAAGUGAUCUUGGACUUAACUGAGCUUGCCCUUGGCACAUGAACAUCCUCCAACACAAGCAUUCGGAGAAGCAUAUUUAAGAAAAUAAUGUGUCUGAUAGAAUAAAACGCAGACUCCUUCGGAUGGCAAAGCUCUUCCUAAACUGACUGCCAACUAUUUUUCAGCCUCCUCUCCUGUGAUCGCACCCACUUUUUUCUGUUCUGCAGUCUGCUUUAAACAAGGCCUUUAUUAGAAAUUACGUAAUGACAAGUAAUUAUCACGUCCCCUAGAUAUAAACUGGGAUUUCAAAUGCCAUCACUGUAAUCCUUCUCCAGAGAAAAAUGCAUGGUGUGGGCUUCACUCCACCAAUUCAAAGGGCAUAUGAGGUAAGUGUCAUCGCACACCCGUCCAGCAGAUGGAAAAGCCACGGGAACAGAAAGGCAUGACGGAGGCUUCCGCAGACCCCAAACCAGCUUGCUUCCCUCCUCUUUUCCCAGCCCUGACUCCAAACUCUGAUUACUGGCUUCACAGCACACACUCCUGGUCAAUCGUCCACAGAACUGGAGCAGGGACGCUUUACAAGAAGUCUCACCAACCAAGAACGGGGAUUACGAUGCAGACAGAAAGCUUUCAGGCAUGGCAGACACACACAUACACACACACACACACACACACACACACACACACACACAGAAACCUAAGGUUGCUGACAAAGAGAAAACGCUAACUGUGAUUUGUCCCAUUUCCCCACUGGUCCCACAGCAUGGGAUGCAGACUUUUAUAUUCUGUCCCUCUCUGGAUGCAAGUCUUCCUCAGGUGACUAGGCGCCCACGAUGGCCUAUCUGGAUGGGAUUGGGGCUAGCAUGCCAUCCGUAUGCCCAAUCUGAUGGACCUCUUCUGAGAACCCUUCGUCACACUUGAUCCCUCAUUUGGCAAAUAAAUAUAUAUUUUUGUCUCUUCUUCAACUGCAGCUGGGAGAAAUAAAGCUUACCUCUACCCAAUUAAUUAGUAAUUAAUCCAUACGAAGCAAUGCAUUUUCUCCAUGUGAAAUAUUCGCUUUUCUCUGGCUACUACCUCCACAUGGAGAAGACGGUGGGUCACCAUGGUUAAUCUGUCUCCAGUGUCACUGAAAAAGUGACAUUUAUAUUUGCACACACCCUGCAAGGAAUUUGCUUGAAUGACAAGCAUUUCUGUAAUGCGCUAAACACACCACUUCCAUCAGAUUAUCUACCAACGUAGCUGGAGGGACUCCCUUGGGGAAGGACUCACUCAGCUCCGAAGGCUCACUGCCGCGACCCUGGUGGGGGUUCCGAGAAACUGCAUCCGUGAAAAUGGUCCUUUGUUUUAAGAUGCUCUCGUAUAUAUUCUAUAAUGUAUAUAUUACAUAGCUGUAAUAGCUAUAUAUAUGUGUGUGUGUGUGUAUAUAUAUAUAUGUAUAUAUAGCUAGACAUCUAGCAUUAGUUGUUAUUAGUGACCAAGAAAAAGUAGUCCCGACAAUGUACUUGUCCAAACAUUAAAUUACCAAUUACCAUAGAAGUGCACUUCACUAGUAGAUUUUUUGUUUGUUUCAGGGAAAUGGAAAACUCAUUGUUAAAUAUUGCUCUGCUUCUUCUGAUGUAGACAUGUCUAUUUGUAUCAAAAGUGCAAAAACCUUUUUUCUACAAUCAAAAGUUUAGCUUUUCCCGGAAGCAGCUAGCGAUAGGUUUAAAAGCACAAACUGAUGUAAAACAUCUUGACUGUUGUCAUCAUCUGAAGAUCUUUUAUUUGCAUUAACCAAUGAUGUUUAGGAUUUUUUUGUAAUCAGUAUUAUUUAAAACGGUGUCAUCUGUAUGCCUAGGACUUAUGUGAGGCAGUUUACUUCAAUUAUGUGUGAGGGUACUUUUCAAAACUGUUACUAGACAAACAAAAGUUUGCUCUCAUCUGCACUUUGAGUGCGAUGGGACAGGUCUUGUUCCCGGUCCACUCAGACAGACACCUCUGCUUAUACUUAAAGAGAAUUGGGCAGAUUUGUAUUUGAAUUCUAUUAUCGUUGUCUAAAGGAAACCAAACUAACCAUUUAAUAACAGAUUGUCUCAAAGGGUUCGUUAAAGAAUAUUAUUGACUAACAAAUCUUUUAAGACGAAUAAAAAUGUGUUAGACUAUCCCAAAGGUGUGUGGACAUUCGGUACCGAUAUUGAAAGAACGUCAUUUUUUACCUUCUUGGAAGGCAGGCACCGCCACUGACCCACGCCAGCGGCAGGCUGCCAGCUCCUUCCCGGAGUCGGGGUGUCAGGUGUGAGGUAGUGGGGCACUGUGCCCGCCACUGCUGGGGCCCUAACGCAGCUCGGCUGGGCGUCCCAGCGGCAGGUGGCGCCCUGGCCGGGCGGGGCUGGGGGACAAGCCUGACCCAUGCUCGGGGAUGGGCUGGGAGAAGCUACAUUUCCCCGAGCAUCCGUUUGCCCCUCAGGGCGGCUGCUCAAGGCAAACCAAUAAAGUCCUGAAAACAAAA